rnacentral:lncRNA from 1 species
CUGAAGUGUCCAGUUUUUUCUGGAUUUGCACAUAUGUAGAUAUUUAUAUACUCCCCCAGAAGCUCUCGCGUUAAAAUAAUUCCAACUUCCGUGCCAGGCCGCAAAGUAGAUCGAUUAAUUUUAUCGACUGCGAAACAUUUCUAUCAAUCUCAUCGAACAUCAAACUUAUAGAGCCUCGCGGAAUUGCGAAACCCUGCAGCAGUCGGUAUGCGGAGCCGAGCAUCCAGGUGGUGCACUGCCGAUCUAUGCACAAUACACAUCCCAUACAUUGUAUACUGCACAUAAUUGUAAGUGCGUACCUACAGGCACGCUAUACCAGUUGGCCAACAGGGUUGAUGAGCUCGCACGUGAGUGCGGAGGACGCGCCGAGCAUGAAGUUACGGUUGGGAGUCGCGUGCUCGGCAUAAGCGCAAUGGAUUGCAAGCUCUUAAUGGCUCCUGCAUGAUAAUUUCCUAUCACGAGCGCGUAAAUUGAACGUUUCAAUAAGAAGAUGCUUGAUUGACGCGUGUAGUGCAUACACUCGACUGCAUUGUAAUUUUCGCAGCAGCGGAUGAUAUAAGAUUCCCGCAAAUUAGUUCCGCAGCAGUUUCGCGGUAGCACUUGAGCUUCGAGCAAACGAUACUCUAAUUCCCGAUAGGUGUGCCCGAAGGGCCAACGGCGUUCCGGAGCGAUAAAGCAUGCUCGCCGAGGGUGAAUCGCGUUGCGCAGCUUGUGGCGUGAUGCGCUUGCCCGCGCUGCUCGUAUAAGAGAGAGAGAGAGAGAGAGAGAGAGAGAAUGGCAGAGAAUGGCAGGCUUAUACCAGAGCGGGAUGAAAAGGGAAAAGAAGACUAAGGGCCAGGACAGCUAAAAAGGCAUAGACCACAGCCACAAGGAACAAGAAGGAACAACGGCGCUGUGUGUCGUUCUGUCGUCUUGUGUGUAUGGUAAAUAAGUAUGAAUGUAUCUACAGCAACAGUAUUAUAUUGUUGUUUGCAACUAUUAUCUUUGGCAUCAGAACUUCUUGAAGCCUGGCAAUAUGAAAAGAGCAAACGGUGGAUAAAUAGACGAUGGCUACGUCGUCCUAUCAAUAAAAAACGCUUAACUCAUGGAUUUUUUACAAGUCAGUUUCAAAAAAUGAAGCUUGGUAAUGAUAUCUUUUUCCAAUACGUUCGAAUGGAUGUUGACACUUUUAAUUAUUUGUUGUCAAUGGUGGAGCCUUAUAAUUGAGGAAUCGUAAGAAGAAACGAGAUGCUAUAUCUGCUGAACAGCGAUUAACUAUAACGCUAAGAUACCUUGCAAGUGGUGAUGAUAUCCUAUCAAUAGCGAUUUCAUACAGGCUAGGCAAGUCAACCGUUCAUAGCAUAAUUAAAAGAACAUGCAGCGUUAUCCAUCAAGUAUUAUCUCCUAUCUAUUUAAGACCUCCAUGCGCUCCAGUUUGGAGAAAUAUUAGCAAAGGUUUCGAACAGGAUUGGCAACUACCUGGGUGCAUUGGCGCAGUUGAUGGGAAACAUAUCUGUAUCCAAUCUCCUCCAGAUUCUGGAGCUCUUUUUUACAACUAUAUAAAGUUUCAUAGUAUUGUUUUACUUGCUGCGUGCAACCACAGAUAUGAAUUUACUGUAGUUGAAUUCGGUGCUUAUGGUAGUGAAAGUGAUGGUGGUAUAUUUUCAAGAAGUGAAUUUGGUAAAUCUUUAGACGAAGGUCGUUUAAACAUACCUACUGAAAGUGUAAAGAAGAGGAAAUUUCCAAAAGAAAACAAAUAAUGCUACAAAGCAAACUUUCAAAAGUAAAACUCAACAAAGUCCUUCAGAGUUAUUACAGGAUGAUACUACAGAGGAUGUUCUUUCAGAUUGUUUGAAUGAGUCAACCAACGAGGAAUUGCAACAGGUUCAAUAUGAAAAUAUUGAAAUUGAAUCACCCAGCUUAUUCAACGAUGAAAAUUCUACAUUGUCUCCAGGGCACAAAGAAUCAAUUGAAGAUAUGAAUAAUGAGGAUGUUGUCUCUGAAAUGGCACUAACUGAAAAUACGAUGCAAAGUCAGAAUAUUUCUAGAGAAAAUGAGACUCAGUCACAAGACAAGGUCACUAACAGUCCAAAAAGUACAACCUCUACACCUCGCACUCCUUUACUUGAUAUGACAGUUUCUUUUAAUAAUAAUAACAUCGAUAAUGAAAUGAAACAAACAUUCAAUUAAAAAAAAUAUAUCACAGGGAUGAAGAAAAUAAUGCCAUUGCUGAUUUGGUGACUAAGCGUCUACGAAAAAUUGAAGAA